CAAAAAAGGGCUGGCGGGCAGGCCUACACAUGCAAGUCGAGCGCACUCUUCGGAGUGAGCGGCGGACGGGUUAGUAACGCGUGGGAACGUGCCCAGAUCUAAGGAAUAGCCACUGGAAACGGUGAGUAAUACCUUAUACGCCCUUCGGGGGAAAGAUUUAUCGGAUUUGGAUCGGCCCGCGUUAGAUUAGAUAGUUGGUGGGGUAACGGCCUACCAAGUCUACGAUCUAUAGCUGGUUUUAGAGGAUGAUCAGCAACACUGGGACUGAGACACGGCCCAGACUCCUACGGGAGGCAGCAGUGGGGAAUCUUGGACAAUGGGGGCAACCCUGAUCCAGCCAUGCCGCGUGAGUGAUGAAGGCCUUAGGGUCGUAAAGCUCUUUCGCCAGGGAUGAUAAUGACAGUACCUGGUAAAGAAACCCCGGCUAACUCCGUGCCAGCAGCCGCGGUAAUACGGAGGGGGUUAGCGUUGUUCGGAAUUACUGGGCGUAAAACGCGCGUAGGCGGAUUGGAAAGUUGGGGGUGAAAUCCCGGGGCUCAACCCCGGAACUGCCUCCAAAACUAUCAGUCUAGAGUUCGAGAGAGGUGAGUGGAAUUCCGAGUGUAGAGGUGAAAUUCGUAGAUAUUCGGAGGAACACCAGUGGCGAAGGCGGCUCACUGGCUCGAUACUGACGCUGAGGUGCGAAAGUGUGGGGAGCAACAGGAUUAGAUACCCUGGUAGUCCACACCGUAAACGAUGAAUGCCAGUCGUCGGCAAGCAUGCUUGUCGGUGACACACCUAACGGAUUAAGCAUUCCGCCUGGGGAGUACGGUCGCAAGAUUAAAACUCAAAUGAAUUGACGGAAGGGC
rnacentral:rRNA from 1 species